rnacentral:lncRNA from 1 species
CCUGGCUCGAGGAACACCAGGUGGAAUUGCUGAAGCCAAGGGACAGAAAUGAGUGGAGGAUUGAGAUGCCGGCUUAGAGCCUAAUUGUCGAGGCCAACUCAAGAAGCUACGUUGACUACUUCUCCUCGUCCCUUUAUCAGGCCCUGGCGGACAUGCUGGAAACGCCGGAACCCUGACCCAGCCUCUCGACUGCGACGCAGGUGUACCUCCCCCUGCCUUCCAACCCCUUUCCACGAGCCAUAUUUAUUUCUCUGAAUAAACGUGCUCCC